CACGUAGGGUCCGAGCGUCGUCCGGAAUUACUGGGCGUAAAGCGCGCGCAGGCGGUCUGGUCAGUCGAUGGUGAAAGCCCCACGCUCAACGUGGGAAGGUCCGUCGAGACGGCCAGACUGGAGGCAGGGAGAGGUCGGUGGAAUUCCGGGUGUAGUGGUGAAAUGCGUAGAGAUCCGGAGGAACACCAGAGGCGAAGGCGGCCGACUGGACCUGACCUGACGCUGAGGCGCGAAGGCGUGGGGAUCAAACAGG
rnacentral:rRNA from 1 species